rnacentral:rRNA from 6 species
GUUGGGUAGGGGAGCGUUCUGUAAGCCUGUGAAGGUGGCCUGUGAGGGUUGCUGGAGGUAUCAGAAGUGCGAAUGCUGACAUAAGUAACGAUAAAGCGGGUGAAAAGCCCGCUCGCCGGAAGACCAAGGGUUCCUGUCCAACGUUAAUCGGGGCAGGGUGAGUCGACCCCUAAGGCGAGGCCGAAAGGCGUAGUCGAUGGGAAACGGGUUAAUAUUCCC